rnacentral:tRNA from 1 species
GCCGGUGUAGCUCAGUUGGCAGAGCAACGCACUCGUAAUGCGUAGGUCGGUGGUUCGAGUCCACUCACCGGCACCA